AUGGGGCCGAAAACGGAUUCGAAAUCCGUUGUACUGGCAACAGUACCUAGGGUUCAAAUCCCUAUCUCUCCGCCA
rnacentral:tRNA from 1 species